AAAAUGCACAAGGACGUUUAUAUGGUCCAGGGUCCUCAGAAAAUGCCCACAGGCAGAAAAGAGGGCAGAAUUCCAUAGCCACUCAGCAACCUUAGCCCUGGUGAGCAUCUGAAGUACUGACUUCCUCUUAGUCCUCGUCAGAAAGGGGUGGGAAUCCACGUCAGAUGCUGAAUCUCACGUGAGACAGACAUGACAUUUUUAUCACUCAAGAUACAGAGGUCACGGACGUUAUUGCUGGGUGCCUCUGCGCGCGCGGGAAGAUGGCUGAGCAGGUGACCAAGUCGGUGCUGUUCGUGUGUCUGGGUUACCAAAUAAGACUUUGCCACUUUUGAUUAUAUACUAUGUAUGGAUGAGAGCAAUCUGAGGGCAACGACGCAGACUUUGAGACCGUCUACCAGCAGUGCAUGCGGUGCUGCAGGGCCUUCCUGGAGAAGGUCCGCUGACCAGGCCGUCCCGCUGUGGCCCAGGCUCGUCCCCCCAGGCCAUGUGUCAACUGCCAGCAGUGUCCCUUCCGAGCCAAGGCCGCAGCCCUCCCUUCAGCUUACUCACUGUUUCUCACCUGACAAAAUAACUGUAGAUGGAAAUCAGUCUUUGUGUUUAGCAAAAGAGUAAAUAAAAAAUCUUUGAUUCAGAUAGUUUAUGGAGUAAGAGUUCCUUAGACUAGCUAAACCUCCCACUUUGCCCCAGUUACAAAAACAGUGGAACAGUGGAAAUAGUGGAGCAGCACAGUAGAACAUAAUGAAGUGAAAUAAGACGUCCCUCCAGGAACCCGCGCUACCUCUCCCUCUGGACGGGCCCCUGCCUGCACUACCUCUCGAUGCCAGGGCCUGGCGUCCAGUGACGUUGGUCGAGUGUCACACGCUCACAGUGCCCACGCGUGCAUUUCAGGACAGAAAGGAGGGAGAUUUGUGGGAUUCACCUUUGGCACCUUCACUCCUUCUUAGUUUGUGUCUGUGUAGCUUAUUUCAUAAGGAAGUCAACUUAUUUGUUCCCAUUUGAACCCCUUUGCCUCUGGAAAUGUAAUUAUAUCCAGGAGAAGGAUGUGUGUGCUGGUUUAUCUUAUGGUCAGUUUGGGGACUGUGUCUGCUUCUACAUGCAUAUAAUUGCCUGAAUGUCAAUUAUAGAUCACCUUGUGUGGGAAAAAGUAUUAAGUUGGAAAAAGUCCUUUUAUGUUGGAAUACUUAAAUAUUGAUAUAUUAAGUAUUCUUUUGUCAGUGCCUGGUUAUAGGGAAAUAUACAUAAUUUGUGUGCACUUUGAAAUAACUGAUCUAAAAUUCAUACGAAUGUAUGUCAGACAAAAUUGUUCUCAAAGAAACUGGGGAAAUUAGAAAAAUUUUUUAAAAAAGAUACAGAGGUCACACGUGUAACUGAAAUGAAUCUACAAGCAGAAAUUUACAUUGUUUGCAAGAAACCGAUAAAGCACAGUCGCAGUGUUCCUGAGAGAAGGAGG
rnacentral:lncRNA from 1 species